rnacentral:rRNA from 1 species
AGUAAGUUUUUCGGCCAGGGAUGUGCUCGCGGCCUAUCAGCUUGUUGGUGGGGUAAUGGCCUACCAAGGCUUCGACGGGUAGCCGGCCUGAGAGGGUGACCGGCCACACUGGGACUGAGACACGGCCCAGACUCCUACGGGAGGCAGCAGUGGGGAAUAUUGGACAAUGGGCGGAAGCCUGAUCCAGCAACGCCGCGUGAGGGAUGACGGCCUUCGGGUUGUAAACCUCUUUCAGUACCGACGAAGCGCCGAUGAUGGUGGUGACGGUAGGUACAGAAGAAGCACCGGCCAACUACGUG